AAAGAGAGUUUGAUCCUGGCUCAGGAUGAACGCUGGCGAGAUGCUUUACACAUGCAAGUCGUACGAGAGUUUUAAACUCAAGUGGCGGACGGGUGAGUAACACGUAAGAAUUUACCUUUAGGAGGGGGACAACAGACAGAAAUGACUGCUAAUACCCCAUAUGCUUUCGAGUGAAAUGGAUUUUUCCGCCUAGAGAGAAGCUUGCGGCUGAUUAGCUUGUUGGUAAGCCAUUACCUUACC
rnacentral:rRNA from 1 species